CUUGUCGAUCCUUAAAUAUAGUCGGUUGAUAUUGAAAAUGUCAGGGUUGGAAAUUUAACAGCAGUUGAUCGGUUGGCCAAGAAACGUGGAAAACAAGGUUUGUAUUUUAACAGUGUUAAGUGAUACAGCAGGAGACUAUCAAACUGCCUGCUGUCGUGUAGAAUAAGUGUGCUGCCAGCAGAUGGCAGCAGAAUGGAAAAAUAAGCACAUAGAGAUGAGAUAGCGGACAAAAGAACUCAGAUCUCUAGCAGCUUAGUUUCACUAGCUGUUUUUGACUGUGCAAGCUUCUCCAUCUAGGGGCAGUGAGGCCUGGUCAGUAAAGUAGAUGACCUGGUUCUGAGCCUGCCAAUGUCUGCUGUGGUUCUGCUGAAGUUUGGUUUCACAAAGACAAAAAGGUACCACUUCUUUCUCCUUAAGGAAAAAGAACGGAAACAAGAGUUGCGUCAAACACUGGGCGAAAAGACUACCAAGAAAAAAAACAGUCAUUUUAUGAGCAGCGUGCUGUGUGAGUCUACAAAGGAAUAA
rnacentral:lncRNA from 1 species